UACGUAGGGUGCGAGCGUUGUCCGGAAUUAUUGGGCGUAAAGAGCUCGUAGGCGGUCUGUCGCGUCGGAUGUGAAAGUCAGGGGCUUAACUCCGGGUCUGCAUUCGAUACGGGCAGACUAGAGUGUGGUAGGGGAGAUCGGAAUUCCUGGUGUAGCGGUAAAAUGCGCAGAUAUCAGGAGGAACACCGGUGGCGAAGGCGGAUCUCUGGGCCAUUACUGACGCUGAGGAGCGAAAGCGUGGGGAGCGAACAGG
rnacentral:rRNA from 1 species